UACGUAGGGUGCGAGCGUUGUCCGGAAUUAUUGGGCGUAAAGAGCUCGUAGGCGGCUUGUCACGUCGGGUGUGAAAGCCCCGGGGGCUUAAACCCCCGGGGUCUGCAUUCGAUACGGGGCAGGCUAGAGUGUGGUAGGGGGAGACUGGAAUUCCUGGUGUAGCGGUGAAAAUGCGCAGAUAUCAGGAGGAACACCGGUGGCGAAGGCGGGGUCUCUGGGGCCGAUACUGACGCUGAGGAGCGAAAAGCGUGGGGGAGCGAAACAGG
rnacentral:rRNA from 1 species